UACGUAGGGGGCAAGCGUUGUUCGGAAUUACUGGGCGUAAAGGGCGCGUAGGCGGCACAGCAAGUCGGGCGUGAAAGCCCGGGGCUCAACCCCGGAAUGGCUUUCGAAACUGCUGAGCUAGAGUACAGAAGGGGCAACCGGAAUUCCCAGUGUAGCGGUGAAAUGCGUAGAUAUUGGGAAGAACACCUGAGGCGAAGGCGGGUUGCUGGGCUGAUACUGACGCUGAGGCGCGAAAGCCAGGGGAGCAAACUGG
rnacentral:rRNA from 1 species